AACAAUUAAACGGCACAUAAGAGCACACACCAAAAAGGUAAAUAGCAACAAAAUACAUUUUCUUUGCACUAUGUGCAAAUAGUUUUAGGUGCUAUUUGCACUCCUAAUUAAAUACUAACAUACAGUAACACUGCAGCAUGUUUAGCGUGUUUAUUUAGAGUCCCAUAUACACCCUUCACCAACCCCUACCCCUAAACCUAACCCUAACCUUACCUUACAAAAAUUAACCAUGGUUUUACUACAACUACCAUAGUAUUAUCAUGGUAUUUUGUAGUAAAAUUACAGUAGCCACAAAUUAAACAUGGUUACUACUGUAUAUUGACACCAUUAUACUGUAGUAUAAUGGUUAAUUUUAGCCGGAUCAAACCUCUCUCUCAACUCCUUGACCAUCACUGUGACCAAAUCACUGCGAGGCAAUCAACCUUUAUAUUAAUUUUUAGUUAUUAUUAUAAGUAGUAUUAAAGGAAAUAUUGAGAGUGGAAACAGGAAACGGAAUGGGAAAAAAUGGGACAAAAGGGGGAAUUGAACCCGGGUUGUCCUCAAUUUAUAUUUGUGCCAUAAAUCAGUGAGCGCAAGAUGAUAUUUUGUGUGCACAAAAUUAUAUUUUGAGGGCAAAUUUUUUUUUCUGUGUUCAUUAAGAUGAUAUUUAGAUGGCACAAGAUGAUAUUUUGAGCACACAAAAAAAUUCUGCAUGCACAAGAUGAUAUUUUGAGCACACAAAAAUCAAUUUUGUGCUCAAAUAAAGUUUAUUUGAAUGUGAAUUUGCAUAGAAUUCUGGCAUUUACAUUUUGAUUGGCUGGCUUGAUCACAAAUCAUACUGCAUAUUUAAUCAGGAGGAAGAGAAGAAGGGGAUUUUUUCAAAAAAGGAAAUGUGUAACUCACUAUGACAACAAGUCACACACUCAGCACCUCACAUUAGAGGUCUUCACGGGUCCACCCUAACCCAAGGACCCGAGACCCGACCCAGGACCUGUUCAGCUUCGGAUCCACAUUUUAUACGAGCCGGCCAGAUCCAGCUCCGUUCUUGCUUGGUGUCAGACUCCACUGCUACGUGUCGCUGAGUGAUGACUUCAGACUACAGCCGGUGCUAGCCAUACAUCACUUCGGUCUUUUACGAUGGACUUCAGAGGAUGAACUGAUGCCAACUCCAACUGUAAGACAUUGGAUACUUCAUAUGCCACUGCCUAAACCUUGGACUUUGGAUGGACCCCACCUGAACCUUGGAUUUAGGAUGGACCCCACUUGACCUGCUGGUUGAACUGCGAUGCACCUCAUUGAUAUCUGCCUGUAUCACCUUUGUCUAUUGAUGGACUACACUCUUGAAAUGGAAUACAUAGACUAUAAUUUAAUUACCAACAAAAGCCUUCAUCAGCCAACUAACAAAGGACAGUGCAUCUAUGUGAACUUCUGCAGUUAAUCCAGGAUGAACUUCAAAAAUAUUAGUCAUUAAUCUUACAGUUCAUACAAAAUCUUUGUUUAAACUCUGGCCCUUAACAUUUACUUAGUUUACUAAUCUUAAACCAAGACCUGCACUGCACAUAAAUAACUAAUAUUGCCAUUAUAUUCAUACUGGUUAGCCAGAGUUGAACUGGCCCCCACAGUGAGCCUGGUUUCUCCCAAUAUUAUUUUUCUCCAUUAACCAACAUCUGAUGGAGUUUUGUGCUCCUUGCCACAGUCACCUUCGGCUUACUCACUGGGGUUCUAAGUACAAUUAUUAUUUAAUUAUUUAAUGAUUUAUUUUUAUACACAAUUUACAGUCAUAUUUAAUAAAAUUACACAAUGAAGACUUUAUAGAUAUUACAGUUUAAUUCUCUGUUAAAGCAUGAUUUUCUGUAAAGCUGCUUUGAAACGAUGUGUGUUAUGAAAAGUGUUAUACAAAUAAAAAUGACUUCUAUUAUAAAUGACUACACAGGCAUAUUAACACUGUAAAUACUGUUUUAACAAUAUUUUAAGGUAAUCUCAUAAUAGUGAUUAAUGUGGUAAAGUUACAAAAUAGUAUAUGAUAUGACUGAAUCAACUUGACUACAUUAGUUUCAUGCCAACAAAAGUAAUUUUAUGGGAAAGCACAGGUAUCAAUUGCUGUUCAAGGAAACAAUAGCACAGUUUCACAUAUUUCAGUGAAUUACAGAUGAGUGAUAAAUAACAAAUAAACAAUAAACUAUUUUUUAUAUAUAUAUAUAUAUAUUGCUGUGACAAACUACACUGAAAAAAAUAUCUUCGUGUGGUAAUAUCUAAAUAAAUUUGUUUGAUUAAAAAAAUAUUGUUUAACAUCAGUGAAUCAACCUGGAUACAUUAGGCUACAACAACAAAACUAAUUUUAAGGUUUAAGGUAACAAAUGCAGGUUACCACUUUUACAUCAAGCUCAACACCUUUUUUCUAAGCAACAGCAAACAAUUCAUCAACCAACUGCCAUAAUAUAGGACUAUUAUUUAAGAGACAAAAUCUGCUUAGUAUAACUUGUGAGACUAAUGGAUCUAGGGAAAGCAGAUUUUUUUUUAUAAGCU